rnacentral:misc_RNA from 1 species
UACGGAGGGUGCGAGCGUUAAUCGGAAUUACUGGGCGUAAAGCGCGCGUAGGCGGCUAGGUCAGUUGGAUGUGAAAGCCCCGGGCUCAACCUGGGAACGGCAUUCAAUACUGCCUGGCUAGAGUACGAGAGAGGGGGGUGGAAUUUCUAGUGUAGCGGUGAAAUGCGUAGAUAUUAGAAGGAACACCAGUGGCGAAGGCGGCCCCCUGGCUUGAUACUGACGCUGAGGUGCGAAAGCGUGGGGAGCAAACAGG